GAUGAAGAACGCAGCGAAAUGCGAUACGUAAUGUGAAUUGCAGAAUUCAGUGAAUCAUCGAAUCUUUGAACGCAUAUUGCGCUCUCUGGUAUUCCGGAGAGCAUGCUUGUUUGAGUAUCAGUAAACACCUCAACUUCCAUAUCUUUUUUGAAAUGGGAGUUGGACUUGAGUGAUCCCAACGCUUUUCCUCACCGAAAAGUGGCGGGUUACUUGAAAUGCAGGUGCAGCUGGACUUUUCUCUGAGCUAUAAGCAUAUCUAUUUAGUCUGCCUAAAAAACAGAUUAUUACCUUUGCUGCAGCUAACAUAAAGGAGAUUAGUUCUUGUGCUGACUGAUGCAGGAUUCACAAAGACAGGCUUCGGCCGACUUUGUAAACUCGAUCUCAAAUCAAGUAAGACUACCCGCUGAACUUAAGCAUAUCAAUAACGAGGA
rnacentral:misc_RNA from 1 species